rnacentral:rRNA from 1 species
CCCAGACUCCUACGGGAGGCAGCAGUGGGGAAUAUUGCACAAUGGGGGAAACCCUGAUGCAGCGACGCCGCGUGAGUGAAGAAGUAUUUCGGUAUGUAAAGCUCUAUCAGCAGGGAAGAAAUACUGACCUUACGGUCAGCAGACGGUACCCGACUAAGAAGCCCCGGCUAACUACGUGCCAGCAGCCGCGGUAAUACGGAGGAUGCGAGCGUUAUCCGGAUUUACUGGGUGUAAAGGGCGUGUAGGCGGGAUGGUAAGUCAGAUGUGAAAACUAUGGGCUCAACCCAUAGCCUGCAUUUGAAACUAUCGUUCUUGAGUGUUGGAGAGGCAGGCGGAAUUCCGUGUGUAGCGGUGAAAUGCGUAGAUAUACGGAGGAACACCAGUGGCGAAGGCGGCCUGCUGGACAAUAACUGACGCUGAGGCGCGGAAGCGUGGGGAGCAAACAGGAUUAGAUACCCCAGUA